CGGCCUUGACAUACUAAGAACUUUCCAGAGAUGGAUUGGUGCCCUUGGGAACUUAGAUACAGGUGCUGCAUGGCUGUCGUCAGCUCGUGUCGUGAGAUGUUGGGUUAAGUCCCGCAACGAGCGCAACCCUUUUCCUUAUUUGCCAGCGGGUCAUGCCGGGAACUUUAAGGAUACUGCCAGUGACAAACUGGAGGAAGGCGGGGACGACGUCAAGUCAUCAUGGCCCUUACGGCCAGGGCUACACACGUGCUACAAUGGUCGGUACAAAGGGUUGCUACCUCGCGAGAGGAUGCUAAUCUCAAAAAGCCGAUCGUAGUCCGGAUCGCAGUCUGCAACUCGACUGCGUGAAGUCGGAAUCGCUAGUAAUCGCGGAUCAGAAUGCCGCGGUGAAUACGUUCCCGGGCCUUGUACACACCGCCCGUCACACCAUGGGAGUUUGUUGCACCAGAAGUAGGUAGUCUAACCGCAAGGAGGACGCUUACCACGGUGUGGCCGAUGACUGGGGUGAAGUCGUAACAAGGUAAGCGUAGAUGA
rnacentral:rRNA from 1 species